AACGUAGGAGACAAACGUUAUCCGGAGUUACUGGGCGUAAAGGGCGUGUAGGGGGUAGUGUAAGUCUGGCGUGAAAUUUUUCGGCUUAACCGGGAAAGGUCGUCGGAUACUGCACAACUAGAGGACGGUAGAGGCGUGUGGAAUUCCGGGUGUAGUGGUGAAAUGCGUAGAGAUCCGGAGGAACACCAGUGGCGAAGGCGACACGCUGGGCCGUACCUGACACUGAGGCGCGAUAGCAUGGGGAGCAAACAGG
rnacentral:rRNA from 1 species